CCACGAAAUGUGUCAUGGUUAUAUGCUCAAUGGAUAUAGCAACGACGUGAAAUCAUUGCAAUAGGUGGUACAAGGUAUCGCAACGAUGUUUAACAGUGGUUAUAUGCUUCAACCAUAUCGCAAUGACAUAUGCCAUGGUUAUACGCUCAAUGGAUAUAGCAACGACGUGAAAUCGUUGCAAUAGGGGUACAAGGUAUCGCAACGAUGUACGUGCCGUCGUGAUAUGCUUCAACCAUAUCGCAACGGAGUAUGUUGUGGUUAUACGCUCAAUGGAUAUCACAACAGAAAAUAUUUUGUCAUCAUAUGCUUGUUGGUCAUCGGCUAAAACGGAAAAUCCAAAACAACAAUUGAUGCCACAUAUAUAUCAUUAAUUAAAUCAAUCCAUCGUUCAUGCACACCAUUCAUGAUAAAAUAGAAUAUUCGACACAAGAAAAUACUCUUGUCCAUUCAUCUCCCAUCCCAGCAUUCAUGAUAAUCAACUUUGCUUCGAGGUCUGCUUGUAACCUAUAGGCAACCUUGAGUCUUAUUGCCC
rnacentral:lncRNA from 1 species